GCCUUCGUAGCUCAGUUGGUAGAGCGUUGUCUUGGUAAGGCAAAGGUCCCGAGUUCGAAUCUCGGCGGAGGCU
rnacentral:tRNA from 3 species